rnacentral:rRNA from 1 species
GAUGAACGCUAGCUACAGGCUUAACACAUGCAAGUCGAGGGGUAACGAGAGGAAAGCUUGCUUUCCUUGUCGACGACCGGCGCACGGGUGAGUAACGCGUAUCCAACCUGCCCCCAACUAGGGAAUAACCUUGCGAAAGUAAGACUAAUACCCUAUAAUUUCCUCAGAUGUCAUCUGACGAGGAAUAAAGAUUUAUCGGUUGUGGAUGGGGAUGCGUCUGAUUAGCUUGUUGGCGGGGUAACGGCCCACCAAGGCAACGAUCAGUAGGGGUUUUGAGAGGAAGGUCCCCCACAUUGGAACUGAGACACGGUCCAAACUCCUACGGGAGGCAGCAGUGAGGAAUAUUGGUCAAUGGGCGGAAGCCUGAACCAGCCAAGUAGCGUGCAGGAUGACGGCCCUAUGGGUUGUAAACUGCUUUUAUACAGGAAUAAAGUUAGCCACGUGUGGUUAUUUGUAGGUACUGUAUGAAUAAGGACCGGCUAAUUCCGUGCCAGCAGCCGCAGUAA